rnacentral:ribozyme from 14 species
UAAUGAAAGGAGAAAAUAAACAUGGAAGAAGUCACAUCGCUAAAAAUAGCAUCUAUAAACUAUGUUUCGUAUUUUCCCAUUUCUUCU